AUCUUAUCGAGAGUGGCGGAGGGACAGGCCCGAUGAAGCCCGGCAACCGAUUGAUGCGCGGUGUAUACAUACGUCCCCAAGCAUCAGUGUCAUGGUGCUAAUUCCUACAUGGCGUGGCAUGUUCACGGCUUUGUGCAGAUGAGAA
rnacentral:ncRNA from 2 species